GGAUUGUGGCUCAGUGGCAGAGUGCUUGCCUCGCACAUAUGAGGCACUGGGUUCAAGUCUCAGCACCA
rnacentral:tRNA from 1 species